rnacentral:tRNA from 1 species
GACCACAUGGCCUAAUGGAUAAGGUAUCUGAUUUUUGGAUCAGGAGAUUGAGGGUUCAAGUCCUUCUGUGGUUG